CUGAAAUAGAAACAGAAAACUUCAAAGCUAAAUAUAAAUUGAGUUUAUUUAGCUAAGCCUCAGACCAAGAAACAAAAUUAUUAGGUCUGUUGGAAGUAGAGGAGAUGUUACUGGUAGGAAGGGAUGAUAAGGCAGAAGAAAAAAGGGAAUGAUAAUUCAUAGCCUCCAGAACUUGAUGAGAUUAAUAGGAGUGCAGAUACUUGCAUACUUAGGCGCUACAUUACAAGAAACUGCAGUGAAUAUUCAUUUUGGAAUUACACUUUCCCAUCAAUGACAAGGAGAAAUUAACUAAAACAAUAUUUUAUUUCCUACUUUAAUGGGGUGAUUUUCAAGCUUCGAAAGAGCUGGAAAUGCUGCCUGACAGGAUGAAGCUCCCAUCCCAUGCUAACAGUUAUGCAGAGUCCAUUCAUUUUCUGAAAGGCUGCUGUUCAUGUGUGCUAAAAGCUUCACUUUGUAUUACACUACAGAUAC
rnacentral:lncRNA from 1 species